GGGACAAGAACCUGUUAGAUUAGCCAAGGUGACUGCCUGGCACCCUCACAAAGAGCUUCUGGUUCUUUUCCAUGGUUGAUACAGAGAUUUGAACCUCUUUGAAAGAUGCAGGCAAGUCAUCAUUGGCUACCAAACACGACUCUUUUCA
rfam:Gossypium hirsutum cultivar TM-1 chromosome 4, whole genome shotgun sequence